rnacentral:rRNA from 1 species
GCUGACAGCUCUCUUCCUUCCUAAUACAUGCAAGUCGAGCGGACGCAGGACUAGAUCGCUACUCUGACUUGCGACCGGCACGCGUGUGCAAAACACGUAUGACCUUUACCCUUGACUGGGGUAAAUCCGGGGGAAAGCCGCAAUUAUCGCCCGAUAUUUUGUACAGUAUCAUCCCUAUGUUAAUAAAGCUCUUGCUGUUCCUGAUUGACGUACGCGCGCUGCAUUAGCUAGUUGGUAAGGUAACGGCUUACCAAGGCAAUGAUGCAUAGCCGACCUGGGAGGGUGAUCGGCCACACUGGAACUGAGACACGGUCCAGACUCCUACGGGAGGCAGCAGUAGGGAAUCUUCCGCAAUGGGCGAAAGCCUGACGGAGCAACGCCGCGUGAGUGAUGAAGGUCUUCGGAUCGUAAAACUCUGUUAUUAGGGAAGAACAUAUGUGUAAGUAACUGUGCACAUCUUGACGGUACCUAAUCAGAAAGCCACGGCUAACUACGUG